GUACUGUUGGAGAGUCUCAAACUAGGACGAAACAGCUGUCCAGUAC
rfam:Trichobilharzia regenti genome assembly, scaffold: TRE_scaffold0028712